rnacentral:tRNA from 1 species
CCUGCUCUACAAUCCCAGUGGUUAAUGAUGCACGUAAGUAUGAUGUUAUUGAGUUAUGCAGCUCUUUUAUGUGGAU